UAAGCGGGAAGCCUGCUUCGAGAUGAGGACUCCCACCCACUUGAUGGGGUAAGGCUCCCAGUAGACGACUGGGUUGAUAGGCCGGAUCUGGAAGCACGGUAACGUGUGGAGGUGACCGGUACUAAUAGGCCGAGGGCUUGUCCUCAGUUG
rnacentral:rRNA from 1 species